AAUGAGUUUUCAAUUGGAUUAAGGGGGCUGAUUUUCAAUAAAAUUAAUCUUUUGACGGAACAAAGUGCUUGCUUGUUCAUUCAUUGAAGCUUUGACAUGGUUGAUUUGAAAGAAUUAUCCUUGAUCAGUGGAAAAGCAACUAGGUAAUGGCGUUAUUGCGUGCAUCUUCAUAUUUAUCCUUUACAAAUUAGAAAAUCUUCCUUUUGGUGUUUUGAGCAUGUUCUUUUGGACAUUAUGAAUUGUAAUGUUCAUAUUUCUCUUAUCGGCAGACUGAAUUUUUGUACUUGUAAUCAUUUCACUUUAGAUUUUUCAAUUUGAUAAGCAAUAUGCAUGGCUAGAAACU